rnacentral:rRNA from 1 species
CCUACGGGAGGCAGCAGUGAGGAAUAUUGGUCAAUGGGCUUACGCCUGAACCAGCCAAGUCGCGUGAGGGACGACUGCCCUAUGGGUUGUAAACCUCUUUUGUCAGGGAGCAACGCCGGCUACGUGUAGCCGGACUGAGAGUACCUGAAGAAAAAGCAUCGGCUAACUCCGUGCCAGCAGCCGCGGUAAUACGGAGGAUGCGAGCGUUAUCCGGUUUUAUUGGGUUAAAAGGGUGCGUAGGCGGAAUGCCAAGUCAGCGGUAAAAUCUGGGGGCUCAACCUCGCUCCGCCGUUGAAACUGGCGGUCUUGAGUGGGCGAGAAGUAUGCGGAAUGCGUGGUGUAGCGGUGAAAUGCAUAGAUAUCACGCAGAACUCCGAUUGCGAAGGCAGCAUACCGGCGCCCAACUGACGCUGAAGCACGAAAGCGUGGGUAUCGAACAGGAUUAGAUACCCCAGUAGUC